AACGAACGCUGGCGGCGCGCUUAACACAUGCAAGUCGAACGAGAAGGCGUAGCAAUACGCUGGUACAGUGGCGAACGGGUGAGGAAUACAUGGGUAACCUACCCUCGAGUGGGGGAUAACCCGCCGAAAGGCGGGCUAAUACCGCGUACGCUUCCGAUCUUGCGGGAUCGGAAGGAAAGCUGUCCCAAGGGGAUGGCGCUCAAGGAUGGGCUCAUGUCCUAUCAGCUUGUUGGUAGGGUAACGGCCUACCAAGGCAUCGACGGGUAGCUGGUCUGAGAGGACGAUCAGCCACACUGGCACUGCGACGACGGGCCAGACUCCGUACGGGAGGCAGCAGUGAGGAAUA
rnacentral:rRNA from 1 species